rnacentral:pre_miRNA from 1 species
AGAAGUUAAAAAAUUGUUUCUUAAUUUUUAACUAAAAAAGUUAAGAACUGGUUCUUAAAUAAGGACUUUAAUAACCGUUUUUUAGUUUUUUUUAGUUAAAAGUUAAGAAACAGUUUCUUAACUUCC